rnacentral:rRNA from 1 species
UACGAAGGGGGCUAGCGUUGCUCGGAAUCACUGGGCGUAAAGCGCACGUAGGCGGCUUUUUAAGUCAGGGGUGAAAUCCUGGAGCUCAACUCCAGAACUGCCUUUGAUACUGAGAAGCUUGAGUCCGGGAGAGGUGAGUAGAACUGCGAGUGUAGAGGUGAAAUUCGUAGAUAUUCGCAAGAACACCAGUGGCGAAGGCGGCUCACUGGCCCGGUACUGACGCUGAGACGCGAAAGCGUGGGGAGCGAACAGG